GACGAACGCUGGCGGCGUGCCUAAUACAUGCAAGUAGAACGCUGAAGGAGGAGCUUGCUUCUCUGGAUGAGUUGCGAACGGGUGAGUAACGCGUAGGUAACCUGCCUGGUAGCGGGGGAUAACUAUUGGAAACGAUAGCUAAUACCGCAUAAGAGUAGAUGUUGCAUGACAUUUGCUUAAAAGGUGCAAUUGCAUCACUACCAGAUGGACCUGCGUUGUAUUAGCUAGUUGGUGGGGUAACGGCUCACCAAGGCGACGAUACAUAGCCGACCUGAGAGGGUGAUCGGCCACACUGGGACUGAGACACGGCCCAGACUCCUACGGGAGGCAGCAGUAGGGAAUCUUCGGCAAUGGACGGAAGUCUGACCGAGCAACGCCGCGUGAGUGAAGAAGGUUUUCGGAUCGUAAAGCUCUGUUGUAAGAGAAGAACGAGUGUGAGAGUGGAAAGUUCACACUGUGACGGUAUCUUACCAGAAAGGGACGGCUAACUACGUGCCAGCAGCCGCGGUAAUACGUAGGUGGCAAGCGUUAUCCGGAUUUAUUGGGCGUAAAGAGAGUGCAGGCGGUUUUCUAAGUCUGAUGUGAAAGCCUUCGGCUUAACCGGAGAAGUGCAUCGGAAACUGGGUAACUUGAGUGCAGAAGAGGGUAGUGGAACUCCUGUGUAGCGGUGGAAUGCGUAGAUAUAUGGAAGAACACCACUGGCGAAGCGGUACCUGGUCUGCAACUGACGCUGAGACUCGAAGCGUGGGUAGCGAAGGG
rnacentral:rRNA from 1 species